UGAGGAAUAUUGGACAAUGGGCGCAAGCCUGAUCCAGCCAUGCCGCGUGCAGGAAGAAGCAUCUAUGGUGUGUAAACUGCUUUUGUACGGGAAGAAACACUCCUUCGUGAAGGAGCUUGACGGUACCGUAAGAAUAAGGAUCGGCUAACUCCGUGCCAGCAGCCGCGGUAAUACGGAGGAUCCAAGCGUUAUCCGGAAUCAUUGGGUUUAAAGGGUCCGUAGGCGGUUUAAUAAGUCAGUGGUGAAAGCCCAUCGCUCAACGAUGGAACGGCCAUUGAUACUGCUAGACUUGAAUUAUUAGGAAGUAACUAGAAUAUGUAGUGUGGCGGUGGAAUGCUUAGAUAUUACAUGAAAUACCAAUUGCGAAGGCAGGUUACUACUAAUGGAUUGACGCGAAUGGACGAAAGCGUGGGGAGAGAACA
rnacentral:rRNA from 1 species